CCUCACCUCCCUUGGCCUGAGUUGGCAUUUGAUAAAUUUGGUGUGUAAAUAAAAUCACUGCAAAGGCUGCCUCUCCAUCUGGAGGCCCUUCACUUCUGGGCCCUGCCCUGAGAGAGGGAAGUGGGCAGAUAUUGGUAUGGCCGGAGGAGGUGGCCAGGGUUGGGGGGCAGGUGCUGAGGACUGAGCCAUAAGGAAGCAAGAUUGGGGAGCUGGAGCAGACACCUAGAGGAGCAGAACCUCAAGGGGCUCAUUUGAACAUCUUUGAAACUUCUGUGAAGUCAUCGUGGGAGAAGUAGUGGAAGUGACCUUCAGUCCAGGAUGAGUGGGGAGCCAGGUUGGGGGGAAGGUUGAGGAAGAGGGAUUCCAGCUCAGGGUGAGGCGUGUUCACCCAUCCUCCCCCUCAGCCAGUGUUAGCUGAGUACCUCUCCUUACCCGGCUCAGUGUGGGGACCUCAUAGUAGUGCUCGGGGUGGAGGAACAUUAUCAGAGGUUCACUCAAAUAAAUGUAAAAUCGCUGCCAGCAGGCAGUGCUACACACAGGAAAGUCUUGGUGCUGUAAAGAGCCUGAAAUGGGAGACAUGGCCUAGAGAGGGUCGGGGUCAUGAUUCUGGAGCUGAGGUUAAAGAGAACUCAGAACUGAAGGAGGGGGCAGAAGGAAGGGUAUUUCAGGCAGAGGGAGCAGCCUGUGCAGAAGCCUGUGGACAGACCGUAUAGUGACUGCAAGGACCACAAGCAGGCAGUGUGGCUGGAAACAAAAGUUCAGGGAGGCCAGGCUAGAGAACAGGGGAA
rnacentral:lncRNA from 1 species